rnacentral:rRNA from 1 species
UUAAAUUGAAGAGUUUGAUCAUGGCUCAGAUUGAACGCUGGCGGCAGGCUUAACACAUGCAAGUCGAACGGUAACAGGAAGCAGCUUGCUGCUUUGCUGACGAGUGGCGGACGGGUGAGUAAUGUCUGGGAAACUGCCUGAUGGAGGGGGAUAACUACUGGAAA